GUAUUAAGUAAUGGUUCGUGUAAGAACUACGGUACCCUGCGGCAACGCAUGCGCAGAAGUAGCUAUAAAACUUCAGUAAAAUCCUGCCCUCUGAUUGGCUAAAAUACAUCUUCGGGUGUUUUCCGUAUCUUAUCCAUUGAUUGACAAACAUUUAAAUUAAGAAUAAAACAAAGGUUGCAUUGUUACGACUUAUCCCCGAGUUUUGUCCGAAUCGUAUGUUCGGAAGUUACAUUUCCGACCUAGCGCUCACGUCGCCAUUUUGAAUUCUACAUGCUUCCUCCUCGAUAUAUUAACUAAGACAAGUCUCUCGCUAUUCAUUAUCUCUUCGAAAAUAGUUUGAAAAUCUAUUGUAUAUACUUUAAAGAAACGCUUCUGAGUUCUGUUUGCUUGCAAACUUUGUCCGAGAAGUUAGAAAAUCUUGGUAUGGUGUACAAAAGGCAGGCAUGUUGCUGCCCAAACCACGAGGCUUGGUGUGGCAGUAAGCCUUCAGAUGUGGAACAGAGGUCCUUGAGAAAGGCGAACAGAGUAGAGAAAGUUUUCUUGGAGCUAAAUGACAAAGGCAAAAAGGGCUGGUCUAGAAGCAUUUGUACAUACUGCCGACAGCGAGUCGAUUUGGAGCUUGUUGAACCUCCUUUUCAAUUUGUUAUUUAUUUCGAAAAUCAAAAUUGCAGAGCUGUAGAGAUGAAACUGCCUCAAGUUCCAGCGUGUUUUUCCAACCGGAAACCUCUGAGACCAGCGCCGCUGCUGAAGCCGCGUUAGAACCAUUCCAGGACAUUGAGGAAACCUCUGCACUAGGGCAAAUUUUGCCGUCAUCAGUUGAUGCUGUACGACUCAUGAAAGCAUCAACUAAACAAAGGGACAUAGAACUAAAGGACAUAGAACGAUGCAUUGAGAAGUAGAAGAUACAUAGUAGGCCAUGAGGACUCACUAUGUAUCAAAGACGGAGACCCCGAUUAUAAGCUGGACACUCUCGACUUCAUCAAUGAGCUUAUGGAAUAAACCUUGCUUGCGGCUUGUUUUAAGAAAAUAUUGUGUGUUCUGUCUGUGUCGAUGAAAUAAUAAUUAGAGGGCUGCUACUACUGUGAAUUCCAGUAAACUUUAUUGCUGUGGCUUGUAUGCGAUAAUAGUUGUAUUGAGGAUCGAAUAAAGCAAAAUUGGUAACUUUAUUUAAAGGCGUGAAUCGUUUUAGUUGUCAAUCUUAAUAUGAAAAUCGUUGUCAAAAA